GGGAGCGGCUCCGCCUGUGGCCGCCAUCUUUACUAGGGGCGGCGCGGGGCGCCCCGGGCUCGUCGGGGUUUCUCACGGCGCCCUUGGGCCGGUAGAGAAAGGCUCUGCGACAAAAGAUUUGUGGAGCUUCUAAUCCCUUUCAAGUUGAAACGUGAUGAGUAUGGUGUAGUAUACGGCGGUGUUUGGACGAGGCUGACAGUGUAAGCACUUGCCGUAACUGCUUGUCGUCGGUAUGGAGCCUUAAAGCCCGAAUGGAACAGCAGCAGCCGCUAUCAGUCACACAGACAGUGGGGGAGGUCCAGACAAACCGUUGUGGCUUCUCAGGGCCCCUUUUUUGCUGAAUAGAGAUGUUGGCUGAGAUUGCCUUCUUCCUGCUGCCUCUUGGAAGUCUUUCUUUCAGUUACAUUCAAAGACGUCGUAUCCUGGGCACACGCAUUCGGAUUUUCGGGAGAUGUCCGUAGCACCCAUUCUCCUCCACUUGCUCCCUCACCUGGUGCUGGCCUGGAACUCCGCAUCCUGGCUGGACUAAUCCUCCCAGCUUCUCAAGGAAGGAGCCAGCGUGGGGGCUGGGGGCUGGGGACUGGUGGGCAGCAUGGCCCCCGCUGCUGGAGCAUUUCCUUCAGGCAGAGAGCAGAGACAGUUUGGAACCGGCAAAAGCAAAAGACCAGGAAGAGCUGCUAACACAGUUCAGUUCAGUUCAGUCACUCAGUCGUGUCUGACUCUUUGCAACUCCAUGAAUUGAAGCACGCCAGGCCUCCCUAUCCAUCACCAACUCCCGGAGUUCACUCAAGCUCACGUCCAUCGAGUCAGUGAUGCCAUCCAGCCAUCUCAUCCUCUGUCAUCCCCUUCUCCUCCUGCCCCCAAUCCCUCCCAGUAUCAGGGUCUUUUCCAAUGAGUCAACUCUUCACAUGAGGUGGCCAAAGUCCUGGAGUUUCAGCUUCAGCAUCAUUCCUUCCAAAGGAAUCCCAGGGCUGAUCUCCUUCAGAAUGGACUGGUUGGAUCUCCUUGCAGUCCAAGGGACUCUAGAGUCUUCUCCAAUACCACAGUUCAAAAACAUCAAUUCUUCGGCACUCAGCUUUCUUCACAGUCCAACUCUCACAUCCAUACAUGACCACAGGAAAAACCAUAGCCUUGACUAGACGAACCUUUGUUGGCAAAGUAAUGUCUCUGCUUUUGAAUAUGCUAUCUAGGUUGGUCAUAACUUUCCUUCCAAGGAGUAAGCAUCUUUUAAUUUCAUGGCUGCAGUCAGCUUCUGCAGUGAUUUUGGAGCCCCCAAAAAUAAACUCUGACACUGUUUCCACUGUUUCCCUAUCUAGUUGCCAUGAAGUGAUGGGACCGGAUGCCAUGAUCUUUGUUUUCUGAAUGUUGAGCUUUAAGCCAACUUUUUCACUCUCCUCUUUCACUUUCAUCAAGAGGCUUUUUUAUCUCUACAUUAUUAGAACACUACCCUCUCUUGUAGAGUCUCCUAUUUGAGGGUCAUAUUUUGGAAAUCUUUGAAGGGUACUCCUCAGAUGCCCUGAACACGAUGAUUCGUUCCACCUCUUGUUCUCUUCUUGGAUCAUGGCUGCAGGACACGGUUUCCAGUGAAGAUGGUUUUGCUUAUCAAAUCCUCAAAGAAAAAGUGCUGUUUCCGUGCAGAUGAAUAGUCAGUUUUAAUUAGUUUAUUAUUUGCGGUUUGAUGAAAGACUUUCAUGGAUAUUCGAGACACGAAUAGUUAAGGAAGAGGAAAAGGAAAAGUUCAGGAAGACCCCCAAGUCACAAAGCCUUGGAAUUUCC
ensembl:lncRNA